rnacentral:rRNA from 1 species
UACGUAGGGAGCAAGCGUUGUCCGGAAUCAUUGGGCGUAAAGCGCGCGUAGGUGGCCCCAUAAGUCCGCUGUGAAAGUCCAAGGCUCAACCUUUGAAAGCCGGUGGAUACUGUGGGACUAGAGUACGGAAGAGGCGAGUGGAAUUCCUGGUGUAGCGGUGGAAUGCGCAGAUAUCAGGAGGAACACCAAUAGCGAAGGCAGCUCGCUGGGCCGUUACUGACGCUGAGGCGCGAAAGCGUGGGGAGCGAACAGG